UAAACAAACACGAAGUCGAGGGUAUUUUAGUCAUUAUAGAAUAAAACUAAGUGGGUAGUGCAAUCGGUGCCCUAUUUAUCAUUUCGAUCAAUCCGGUUACCCUCUCGAGAAGACGGGGUCUUGCACGAUGACGGAAGAACCCAAAGACACUUGCGAUAUGAUUGGAAGCCAAAAAACAAAUCCUUCUCGGGAUAAGGAUCUUGCUCCAUAUAUUAAGAUUAAAGUUCUUUUCUUUGCCAGAGCUCGGGAUCUUACUGGAUCAACAGAGUUAUGUCUUGAAAUGCCAGAUGGUAGCACUGCCAGAGAUUGUAUGAAUAAACUCUUAAUUGAAUUUCCAAAUUUACGGGAAAUUUAUGAUUCCAUGGUUUUGGCUCUUAAUGAGGAAUAUGCUCCAGAAUCGACAGUAUUGAGAAAUAAAGAUGAAUUGGCUAUCAUUCCCCCAAUAAGCGGAGGUUGAAGAAUGUUGCAGAAGCAACAUGAUGUUUUUUUAAUGUUGUAUCAACUUAUAACAUCUUAUUAAUAAUGGUCUUCUUGAAUACUAUAGCAUCUCUUUACCCUGCUA